AGCAGUAGCCACGGGAAUACAGAGGGUGCAAGCGUUAAUCGGAUUUACUGGGCGUAAAGGGCGCGUAGGUGGUUAUUUAAGUGAGAUGUGAAAGCCCCGGGCUUAACCUGGGAACUGCAUCUUAUACUGGGUAACUGGAGUGCAGUAGAGGGUAGUGGAAUUUCCGGUGUAGCGGUGAAAUGCGUAGAUAUCGGAAGGAACACCAGUGGCGAAGGCGGCUACCUGGACUGAGACUGACACUGAGGCGCGAGAGCGUGGGGAGCAAACAGGAUCAGAUACCCCCGUAGUCCCUGUCUCUUAUAC
rnacentral:rRNA from 1 species